AGACUUCUGGGGUGACUUAAUGAAAUAGCUCAGCCAUCUGGUUUAAAAACUGGAUUCUUCUAUCCCUCCACACAGCUGUCCAUGCACCUGCAUCAUCUCAAGGCUGGUCUCCCUGGUGGUAGAAAGGCUGACAGUAAAAACUGGAGCCACAUGAUUCCUUGCUUAGGCAGUGUUUCUUCAUACUCUCACAUGAGAGCAGGCAUGUUCUUUCCCUAGGCUCACAGUAAACACUCUGUCAAAUCUCACAGGCCCAAAGUGCUUUUGGUUAUCCCCAUUCCAAGCCAAUCUGUGGCAUGGAAGAUAGCAUUACCCUGACUGCCUUAGACUAAUAUACCUACUCCACUUCUGGGGCUGGGAAUAAUUUUGAGGUCAACCAUCCAAACUGCAUGACAGCCAUUCCAUGGAAGAGGUAUGGCCUAAAUCUUUGGGGCAACCUGAAUUCAUGAAAACUCUCUUAGAUUUAUGUAACUAUUUUUAGAAUUCACUUCUGUAUCAUUUAAUUUUACUAAUAAAAAUACCACCUUUACCCUAAAUGUCAGCCAAGCGUAAGGCUCCGUUGGGACAGGGAAGUUUCUGAGACACCCCAGUAACUGCAUGGGUCCACAAAGCACAUGUACAGUCUGCUCUAUGCACUGCAGGUACAGCCACGAAUAAGACAAAGUCUCUGCCCUCAUGGAGCUUGGUGUCUGUCUACUGGAGCAGACAAAAACAAACCUGCUUUUUCUCAUUUGCCUCUACUGUGGGUUCCGUGUAUAACUCUCAAAUGCUAGCAUUUCCAUGCAUUCCAUCCUUGUCCUUCUCUCCUCUCUGCCUUUUCCAGGAGAAUUUUCCUCCGAGUCUUUCCAUGGGUCUAAUUUACCAAAUCAUGAAGACUCUCUUUCUCACUGUGUAUGUUUUUUUUUUUUUUUUGCAAGUCUGCUCUCUGGAUUCGUUUUUCUGGGGAUGAAAUCUCAGGCUAUGUAGCUUUUCUGGUCCCUUUUUGGUAAUCAACAAAUCAUCAGUUUCUCUAGGUAUUAAAAAGCCUACACUUUUGAAACACCAAGAGGCCAAACUCUCUCUUAAUUGAAAACAUAAUUCUGCCUCUUACUGAGGUCUUUGGGUGGGAAGCUUAAAGACAGCAGUGUUGGGGCAAUUGGUUUUUCUUUUCCUCCCUCCACCUUCUUUCCCAUUCAAGAGCUGUUGCUGCCCUUUCUGGAGGGGAGGGAAUUAGAAAAAAAGAUCCUGCCUUACCCAGUCACUGUUAAUUAUUACUUUGAGCCAGGGUGGGGAAUGACUUUCUUUCCUGGAAUACACCCUGCUGGAAACCACAGCUGAGAUUCUCUAAGCUGGCAGCUUCCAACCUCUCCUCCCUCAACAGCUUCAACAUUAUAUGGCACUCAGCUGCAGGGUGCCUGGCUCCAGGCCGGCAGUCCAUUUGUGCAGGGUAGUUUUCAAGAUGGCUCAUAGCCCAUCUCUUUCAGUGACCAGCGUGGCCUAUGGGAAACAUACAUCUUGACUCCAUUAUUGGUAGGAGUACUUUUUUUUAAAAAUGACAGUCUCUAUCAUGAAUUUACUUACACUCCAGGCAAAGGUUAUUAGAAGAAAAAAAGAUGUAAGAAAAUUCCUUAACUGAAAUGUGGAAAGAGUAUCAAGAGGAGACCCUAAGACACUCUGUAAGAAUCCCAGUGACUCCUCACUGUUCAACUAAGAAAUGUACCCCAUUAUGCUGUGCUACCACGGAAGCAUUGGAGGCACUUUGGGGGUUGAUGAAGUCUUCAUGGAUGAGGUACUUUAAAUAUCUGGUCAUGAAGAGUAUUUGAGAAAUAUGACAAGUGAAGAUGCUGGGUAGGAAUGCAGCGAGGAAAGUGUGUAACACAAGGCCAAAUUGGAAAGGUCAGUGAGGGGGCAAUCUGUGGAGGCACUGAAUGCAGAGGAUAUUAAAAUUAGCAAGAUAGUGUUCUAGCACAAUGAAAAGGAUUGGAAGAGGGAGAUGAGAGUCAGGGAGUGAAAUUAGGCAGCUGCUAAGAAUGUCCGGGUGAGUCA
rnacentral:lncRNA from 1 species